CGCUUGGCUAUUCCACAGACAUAUCUUCUUCCUUAUCCUCCAAUCGAAAUGUUAAUUCCAUAAUCCGCCAUUGCAGCUUAUCUUCAUCCUUCACUUCCAUGCUUUUGUUCUGCGGAUUGCAGAACCAUGGCGUCUUCCCCCACUCCCAUCUCUCCACUAUCUUUUCCCAAUCGGAGAUCAAAACCAAAACCAAACAAACCGCCUCCAUCAUUGCCUCCGGCGUGGAAACCCAGCCCCAAAUCUAUGCCCAAGGAGAUUUACUUUAACCGCGAUGGCUCUGCCUUGAAAAAGCUUCAGGUCGGUGUUGAUUUGGUGGCGGAGUUGGUCGGUGUUACGUUAGGGCCGAAGGGGAGGAAUGUGGUGCUUCAAAGCAAAUAUGGUCCGCCUAAGAUCGUCAACGACGGGGAAACUGUCCUCAAAGAGAUUGAAUUGGAAGACCGUUUAGAGAACGUUGGGGUGAAAUUGGUAAGACAAGCUGGUGCAAAGACAAAUGACCUUGCUGGUGAUGGUUCCACUACAUCUGUCGUUCUUGCCCAGGGAUUAAUUGCUGAGGGUAUGAAGGUUAUUUCAUCUGGCAUGAGUCCUGUUCAAAUUGCACGUGGAAUUGAGAAGACUGCAAAUGCACUAGUUUCUGAGCUGGAAUUGAUGUCAAGAGAGGUUGAAGAUCAUGAGAUAGCACAUGUUGCUGCAGUUAGUGCAGGGAAUGAUUACGCUGUGGGAAAUAUGAUUUCAGAUGCCUUACGUCAAGUUGGUAGGAAAGGAGUCGUCCAAAUUGAAAAAGGGAAGAGUAUCGAUAACAGUCUGCAAAUUGUUGAAGGGAUGCAAUUUGAUUCUGGAUAUUUGUCUCCGUACUUUGUUACUGAUAGACAGAAGAUGAUAGUAGAAUUUCAUGAUUGCAAGUUACUGUUGGUCGACAAAAAAAUCUCAGAUCCAAAGGAGAUGUUUAAAAUAUUGGACAGUGCAGUGAAAGAGAAGUAUCCAAUUGUGAUCUUGGCAGAGGGGUUUGAGCAGGCAGCUUUGGCUCCAGUAAUUAGGAAUAAACUUAGAGGUGUGCUGAAGGCAGCUGCUAUCAAGGCUCCUGCCUUUGGCGAGCGCAAGAGUCACUACUUAGAUGACAUAGCGACCCUAACUGGAGCAACUGUGAUCAGAGAAGAUAGUGGACUGACUUUAGAAAAGACUGGCAAAGAGGUAUUGGGCUCUGCUACUAAGGUUGUUAUAACGAAGGAUUCCACACUAAUAGUUACAGAUGGGACUACUCGGGAAGCAGUUCAAAAAAGGGUUUUACAAAUUCAAAAGCUUUUGGAGAAUACUGAGGAAAAAUUUCCAAAGAAGAUAUUGAAUGAGAGAAUUGCUAGACUAUCUGGGCGAAUUGCGAUACUUCAGGUAGGAGCACAAACUCAAGUUGAAUUGAAGGAUAAACAGUUAAGGAUUGAGGAUGCCUUGAAUGCGUCAAAGGCUGCAAUUGAAGAAGGUGUUGUCGUUGGUGGUGGUUGUUGUCUUUUAAGGCUGUCAACCAAGGUGGAUGCUAUAAAGAAUGUCCUGGAAAAUGAAGAGCAGAUGAUUGGUGCCGAAAUUUUCAAAAGGGCUUUGAGUUAUCCUACAAAACUAAUUGCGAGAAACGCCGGUGUUAAUGGAAGUGUGGUUAUAGAUAAGGUUCUAAUUAACAAUGAUAUGAAUUAUGGAUAUAAUGCCGCCACAGACCAUUACGAGGAUUUAAUGAAAGCUGGAAUCAUGGAUCCAUCGAAGGUCGUCAGAUGUUGCUUGGAGCAUGCAGCUUCUGUUGCCAAAACUUUUCUGACAUCCGAUGCUGUUGUAGUUGAUAUGAAGGAACCAGAACCCUUUCCAAGAAGAACGACGUUGCCCAACUCAGGCAUCAAACGAAUGGCUCUUUAGCUUGACGGUCAAGAUCAGAGUAUAUGGGGGAAUUCUACGAUGGCUGUUUUCAAAUACAGACAAAUGGGUCUCGAGCCACCAUUAAGAGUAAAGUUCUUGCCCAAUUUGUAGCAAUGAUUUGAUUGAUACAAGGCAGGUUGAGCAGCAAGUGAAGGACAAGCAGGCCAAGAACUUGUCGAGCAUUUUUUUUUUCUCUUAGCUCUGUUCAAAGGAUCUUCGUCAAAGAAGCGACGGUAACCACAUUUUUCUUACUUCAAUCGACACGACUUUAUGCUCAUAUUAUUAGCAUAAAGUCGAGAAAAUGUGUAAAAGUAUAUGAAUUGAUUUGGACAGAUAACAAAUGAAUUGUGUAAAAGAGUUAAGAAGAUGAGGAGAGUUUGGCAUACCCUUUUUGGUGUUAAUAUACAUAUGGUUCAUGGUCUA